AAACCAACAGGGAUUACCUCAGUAACGGCGAGUGAAGCGGUAAGAGCUCAAAUUUGAAAGCUACCAACAGGUCGCAUUGUAAUUUGUAGAAGAUGCUUUGGGUGUUGACCUAGUCUAAGUUCCUUGGAACAGGACGUCAUAGAGGGUGAGAAUCCCGUAUGUGAUUAGUGUCAGCCCCCGUGUAAAGCUCUUUCGACGAGUCGAGUUGUUUGGGAAUGCAGCUCAAAAUGGGUGGUAAAUUUCAUCUAAAGCUAAAUAUUGGCCAGAGACCGAUAGCGCACAAGUAGAGUGAUCGAAAGAUGAAAAGCACUUUGGAAAGAGAGUUAAACAGUACGUGAAAUUGUUGAAAGAGAAGCGCUUGCAAUCAGACUUGCAGGCAGUCGAUCAUCCGAGGUUCUCCCCGGUGCACUCGAUUGUCUUCAGGCCAGCAUCGGUUUCGGUGGUGGGAUAAAGGCUGUGGGAAUGUGGCUCUUCGGAGUGUUAUAGCCCACGGUGCAAUGCCGCCUACCGGGACCGAGGACCGCGCUUCGGCUAGGAUGCUGGCGUAAUGGUUGUAAGCGAC
rnacentral:rRNA from 1 species